UAUUUUGAAUGGAGGCGACCGUUUCAUUAUAAAUUGGGAUAAUGAUGAAUCUGAUGCAGAAAUUGAAGAUCUGUGGCUAAACUAGUUAUUGUUGCAUAUGUUUACUGCCUCUGUUUGUCCUUCAGCGAUACAAUAAAGACUGCUUCUUCCUGCAUUCUCUGGGAAAGUCCCUUUUUUGCCAUAUUUACUGCCUCUGUUUGUCCUUCAGCGAUACAAUAAAGACUGCUUCUUCCUGCAUUCUCUGGGAAAGUCCCUUUUUUGCCAUAUUUACUGCCUCUGUUUGUCCUUCAGCGAUACAAUAAAGACUGCUUCUUCCUGCAUUCUCUGGGAAAGUCCCUUUUUUGCCAUAUUACUGCCACACUUGUUCUGUCUCAGAGAGGCAAGACUACUUCUUUCAUAAUUCACUGGAAGAAAAAAGCCUAUUUUAC